GGGGGCGACUGGAUUCGACAUGAUAGUCCUGCGUCGGGCAGCAUGCGGUGGUCUCCUCGCCACCUUAAACAGGGGUACCGUCAAAAUUAAUUGACAACAGAAGCUAUGCCCUCGCCGCCUAAUUAAAGGCCGCGACGCCUAAUCGGGAUACAUCCCCGCUCCCGAGGUGGCGCCAUCUCAGGGGAAUGCCCCUGCACACGUAGUCGGUCUGGUGCAGGGAAAGACUGAACCGGCUGGCGACAGGUUCGUUGGCACGUUGACCAGCCUGAAGCGAGAUUCGAUAACGCGCUGAGCAUGGAGACACCUGGCAAGGGGUUAGCAUGGACCGGAGUUCGACUCUCCGCGCCUCCACCA
rnacentral:tmRNA from 1 species